GACGAACGCUGGCGGCGUGCCUAAUACAUGCAAGUCGAGCGAAGCGGCGGAUGGGUGAGUAACGCGUGGGUAACCUGCCCUUAAGUCUGGGAUACCAUUUGGAAACAGAUGCUAAUACCGGAUACUAAAGGAUGGACCUGCGAUGCAGUAGCUAGUUGGUAAGGUAACGGCUUACCAAGGCGAUGUUGCAUAGCAGAGUUGAGAGACUAGACGGCCACAUUGGGACUGAGACACGGGCCAAAAUCCUACGGGAGGCAGCAGUGGGGAAUAUUGCACAAUGGGGGAAACCCUGAUGCAGCAACGCCGAGAGCGGGAAGACGGCCUUCGGGUUGUAAACCGCUGUGAUCCAUGACGCGGUAGUGGCAGAAGAAGCACCGGCUAACUACGUGCCAGCAGCCGCGGUAAUUC
rnacentral:rRNA from 1 species